UAUUUGGGAGAAAUAUCAACACACCAAGGAAUAUACCGUAGAUGACCUUCUGAAGUACUGCUCCAAGACUUAUCGCAUGCCCUGUGAAUAUGACCAAUCUGAUUAAGGCUUUCUUCGUCAUCUGCAGCACUGGAAGCAUCUCGUCUUUACUUGUUAGAUGAGUUCAACUGCUUUUCUUGAAAACGAAUUGAGAAUCUAUACAAUCGUCAGUCAAGUCGUAUAAAUGUUCCAAUAGUGUAUUUUGAUUUUUAAAUUCAGUUGCUUCUUGCCAAAAUACAGAUAUAACUACAAUAAAGCAAGUUUUUUUUUCAGAA